GACGUAGGGGGCGAGCGUUGUCCGGAAUCAUUGGGCGUAAAGAGCGCGUAGGCGGCCCGGAAAGUCGGAUGUGAAAACCCGGGGCUCAACUCCGGGCCUGCAGUCGAUACGGGCUGGCUUGAGUGCGGUAGGGGAGACUGGAAUUCCUGGUGUAGCGGUGAAAUGCGCAGAUAUCAGGAGGAACACCGGUGGCGAAGGCGGGUCUCUGGGCCGUAACUGACGCUGAGGAGCGAAAGCGUGGGGAGCGAACAGG
rnacentral:rRNA from 1 species